rnacentral:rRNA from 1 species
GAUGAACGCUGGCGGCGUGCUUAACACAUGCAAGUCGAACGGUGAAGGCGGAGCUUGCUCUGCUGGAUCAGUGGCGAACGGGUGAGUAACACGUGAGCAAUCUGCCCCUGACUCUGGGAUAAGCGCUGGAAACGGCGUCUAAUACUGGAUACGAGCUGCGAAGGCAUCUUCAGCAGCUGGAAAGAAUUUCGGUCAGGGAUGAGCUCGCGGCCUAUCAACUUGUUGGUGAGGUAAUGGCUCACCAAGGCGUCGACGGGUAGCCGGCCUGAGAGGGUGACCGGCCACACUGGGACUGAGACACGGCCCAGACUCCUACGGGAGGCAGCAGUGGGGAAUAUUGCACAAUGGGCGAAAGCCUGAUGCAGCAACGCCGCGUGAGGGACGACGGCCUUCGGGUUGUAAACCUCUUUUAGCAGGGAAGAAGCGAAAGUGACGGUACCUGCAGAAAAAGCGCCGGCUAACUACGUG